rnacentral:lncRNA from 1 species
AUGUCAUCAGGGAAGGGUGGCCACUCAGCUAUGAUGGCUAUAAAGUGCCAUUAUAAUACUGGGGAAGGCAUACACUGUCAAAUGGACAACAGGUCGAUCAUACAGAGAUCAGUCACCAAAAGCCUCUCGGAAGAGCCAAGUCUUCAGGCUCGUCCGAAAGGAGAGGAGGGUAGGGGCCUGCCUAAUCUCCCCGGGGAGCGAGUUCCAGAGCCGGGGAGCCACGAUGGAGAAGGCCCUUUGACCAUCAACUUAGUACUGAAACCGGGCUUGACUUGGAUUGGGGCUGCUGGUUUCGCUGCCCACUCUCAACUUUUGACUCUGUUCCUCCUGGGCUUUAGUGGGGACUUUUGUUUUUAUUUUGUUUCCAGAUUUUAUUUUACAGUAGAGUCUCACUUAUCCAACAUAAACGGGCCGGCAGAACAUAGGAUAAGCGAAAACGUCCAGAGGGCCAAAGUUUGCCCAAGUCUGCUCUUGAGUCUAAGUGAGCGAGAGAUGCGCGAGAGAGCGAGUGUUUAUCGAGGGGAGCGCGGCGCCCUUCCUUUCCUCUCCGCCAGGGGGCGGCGCCGCUGCUGCUGCUUCCGUAGCUGCUGUUACUGCUGCUGGGCGGCGAAGGAGCCCGUUCCUGCUGAGGCGGCCGCUUCCUGCUCUCUUCUUUCUGCGGGGAAGGCGAAGAGGAGCAGGGCGGGCGCGAUGCUGUCUCCGUCCCCCGCCUGGGCCGCCUUCCUGCUCCUGCUGCCGCUCGGCCCCCCGGCAUUCAUGCUAAACGAUGCUAGUGAAGAUGUAAAGGAGGAGACUACGCUGCUGUCACAGGUACUAAAAUUUCUGUCUCACUUCCAGGAAGUCACUAGCAGAUCUAAAGGAGAGCUAGUCCAUGAUAAUCUGCUUAGCCUUAUAGUAAGGCCUAUUAGAAAUCAUAGAAAGGAUUGUUGCAAUUUUAUUUGUUUUGGUUUUGUGAUUUGUUUUGUGCACUCCCUGGUGUAUUCCAGAUUGUUUUCAUUGUGA